CCCUAUACAUUACCUGACCACUAUGGACCUGGGCGCCCCGGAUUAGUGUCGCCUUUAGCUUGGUUUAAGGAUUUGGCCAUCAUGCCCUCCGCGUCCCUGUGUGCCCCCCGUCCACAGCUGGACCCCAGAAUGACCUGGCUCUGCCUGUCCUGUAUGCUCUGGCCUGAAGAUCCGGAGGGACAGAACUGUCACACCUUCAAGAUAAAGAACUUUAAGAAGGUGAAGUCUUGCAGUGUCUGUAAACAGGCCAUCACCCGGGAGGGCAGCGCUUGUCGAGAUGUCACUGUUCCUCUGUAUUGAGCUGUGCGCCGUUACCUGGUGAUCUGGUGAUGGCCCUAGAGGCUGAUCAGGGGCCACAGACAAUAAACGCCCUUGUACUGGAAAUCGUGCAUCCGCCUAAGUGAUUGUAACCCGAGAAAAUCAAUUCCGAGCUCUGGAAGUCACAUUGCAGAUUCUUAGAAUUCUUUGCCCAAUGGUCUUGACAUUCCAAUGUUCACAACAAUUUCUGGGAUUCGGCUGUUAGGAUUUGUGCAGAAUAGUGAA